rnacentral:rRNA from 1 species
CCUACGGGGGACUGCAGUGGGGAAUAUUGGGCAAUGGGCGCAAGUCUGACCCAGCAACGCCGCGUGAAGGAAGAAGGCUUUCGGGUUGUAAACUUCUUUUGUCAGGGAUGAGCAGAAGACGGUAACUGUCGAAUAAGCCAAGGCUAACUACGUGCCAGCAGCCGCGGUAAUACGUAGGUGGCCAGCGUUGUACGGAAUGACUGGGUGUAAAGGGUGUGUAGCCGGGCUGAGAAGUCAGAUGUGAAAUCCGGGGGCUCAACCCCCGAACUGCCUUUGAAACUGUUAGUCUUGAGUGUCGGAGGGGCAAGUGGAAUUCCUAGUGUAGCGGUGGAAUGCGUAGAUAUUAGGAGGAACAUCAGGGGCGAAGGCGACCUACUGGACUACAACUGACGGUGAGGCACGAAAGCGUGGGGAGCAAACAGGAUUAGAUACCCUAGUAGUC